rnacentral:rRNA from 1 species
AACGAACGCUGGCGGCAGGCUUAACACAUGCAAGUCGAACGCAUGCCUUCGGGCAUGAGUGGCAGACGGGUGAGUAACGCGUGGGAACCUACCCCUUGGUACGGGAUAGCUCCGGGAAACUGGAGAUAAUACCGUAUGUGUCCUGAGGGACAAAGAUUCAUCGCCAAGGGAUGGGCCCGCGUCGGAUUAGCUAGUUGGUGGGGUAACGGCCUACCAAGGCGACGAUCCGUAGCUGGUCUAAGAGGAUGAUCAGCCACAUUGGGACUGAGACACGGCCCAAACUCCUACGGGAGGCAGCAGUGGGGAAUAUUGGACAAUGGGCGCAAGACUGAUCCAGCCAUGCCGCGUGAGUGAUGAAGGCCCUAGGGUUGUAAAGCUCUUUCACCGGUGACGAUAAUGACGGUAACCGGAGAAGAAGCCCCGGCUAACUUCGUG